CCUACGGGUGGCUGCAGUGGGGAAUAUUGCACAAUGGGGGAAACCCUGAUGCAGCGACGCCGCGUGAGUGAAGAAGUAAUUCGUUAUGUAAAGCUCUAUCAGCAGGGAAGAAAAUGACGGUACCUGAGUAAGAAGCUCCGGCUAACUACGUGCCAGCAGCCGCGGUAAUACGUAGGGGGGAAGCGGUAUCCGGAUUUACUGGGUGUAAAGGGAGCGUAGACGGCAGUGCAAGUCUGGAGGGAAAGGCGGGGGCUCAACCCCCGGAGUGCCCUGGAAACUGUACGGCUGGAGUGCAGGAGAGGUAAGUGGAAUGCGUGGUGUAGCGGUGAAAUGCGUAGAUAUUAGGAAGAACACCAGUGGCGAAGGCGGCUUACUGGACUGUAACUGACGUUGAGGCUCGAAAGCGUGGGGAGCGAACAGGAUUAGAUACCCGUGUAGUC
rnacentral:rRNA from 1 species